CGAGGAGGCGGGACACGUCGGCGCUGCUACAGCCGCCGCCGCCGCCGCCGCCGCCGCCCCCCCUCCUGCUGUUCCAGCUGCCGCCGCCGCCGCCGCCGCUUCCUGGGCUGAGUCUGCCUGCGGUCCCAGCGGCGCCAGGUGCGUUCAUCCUGCCGGUCUUCUGCCAGCGUCCGCCGCUGCUGUAGCUGCCCCAGGCUCCCCACACCGCUUCCGAGAUGGCGACGCGCUCCUGCCGGGAGAAGGCUCAGAAGCUAAAUGAGCAGCACCAGCUCAUCCUGUCGAAACUGCUGAGGGAGGAGGACAACAAGUACUGCGCCGACUGCGAGGCCAAAGGUAGCGCAGACGGCGCCGCCGCCCUGUAGGGGCCUCCUGCGACCGGUGAC
rnacentral:lncRNA from 1 species